UCAACCCCAUCAUUUUAUCCUUAGUGGCAGCAAUACAAAUACAUGGCAUGUCCCUUUCUUUCACUGGGAUUGAGCACCGCAAGAUUGAACCCACUACAACACACACCUCUCAUUGAAGAUAGAACUAUCUAGUUGGCCAAACCAAAUCAAUAGAUCAGAGAGAAUUACGAAGCUAUAAGAAUCAUGCAAAUAAGAAUCAUAAUAAACUUGGGAGAAGACUCAAAUCUUUAUCAGGAAUAAUCUGAACAUAAACCCACAAUUCAUCGGACCCCAACAAACACGCCGCACAAAAUGAUUACAUCGAAUAGAUCAUUGUGAAGAUGCAAUGAACUUUGCAUUGAAGAACAUAGAGAGAGAAAUCCAUCUAGAUACUAGCUAUGGACCCGUUGGUCUGUGGUAGAGUACUCACACAUCACCAUGGGAGCAGCAAGGAUGAUCUAGAGGGCCUUCGUGAU
rnacentral:lncRNA from 1 species